GAUGAACGCUGGCGGCGUGCCUAAUACAUGCAAGUCGAGCGAACGGACGAGAAGCUUGCUUUUCUGAUGUUAGCGGCGGACGGGUGAGUAACACGUGGAUAACCUACCUAUAAGACUGGGAUAACUUCGGGAAACCGGAGCUAAUACCGGAUAAUAUUUUGAACCGCAUGGUUCAAAAGUGAAAGACGGUCUUGCUGUCACUUAUAGAUGGAUCCGCGCUGCAUUAGCUAGUUGGUAAGGUAACGGCUUACCAAGGCAACGAUGCAUAGCCGACCUGAGAGGGUAAUCGGCCACACUGGAACUGAGAAACGGUCCGGACUCCUACGGGAGGCAGCAGUAGGGAAUCUUCCGCAAUGGGCGAAGCCUGACGGAGCAACGCCGCGUGAGUGAUGAAGGUCUUCGGAUCGUAAAACUCUGUUAUUAGGGAAGAACAUAUGUGUAAGUAACUGUGCACAUCUUGACGGUACCUAAUCAGAAAGCCACGGCUAACUACGUG
rnacentral:rRNA from 1 species